GGCGCAGGCGGGAAUGCAAGUCAGAUGUGAAAUCCCAGAGCUCAACUCUGGAACUGCAUCUGAAACUGCAUUUCUUGAGGAUAGGCGGAGAAAACGGAAUUCCAUGUGUAGCGGUGAAAUGCGUAGAUAUAUGGAGGAACACCCGUGGCGAAAGCGGUUUUCUAGCUUAUUCCUGACGCUGAGGCCCGAAAGCUAGGGGAGCAAACAGGAUUAGAUACCCUGGUAGUCC
rnacentral:rRNA from 1 species